rnacentral:rRNA from 1 species
AUGAACGCUGGCGGCGUGCCUAACACAUGCAAGUCGAGCGGCAGCGAGGGGUGCUUGCACCCUGUCGGCGAGCGGCGGACGGCUGAGUAACGCGUGGGAUCGUGCCCCAAAGUGAGGAAUAACUGCCCGAAAGGGUAGCUAAUACCGCAUAUUAUCUUCGGAUCAAAGGAUUUAUCCGCUUUGGGAGCGGCUCGCGUCGGAUUAGGUAGUUGGUGAGGUAAUGGCUCACCAAGCCGACGAUCCGUAGCUGGUCUGAGAGGAUGACCAGCCAGACUGGAACUGAGACACGGUCCAGACUCCUACGGGAGGCAGCAGUGAGGAAUCUUCCACAAUGGGCGAAAGCCUGAUGGAGCAACGCCGCGUGCAGGACGAAGGCCUUCGGGUUGUAAACUGCUUUUAUAAGUGAGGAAUAUGACGGUAACUUAUGAAUAAGGAUCGGCUAACUACGUG